rnacentral:lncRNA from 1 species
GAGUGGAAAGUCUCUUGUGGCUGAACUAGAAGAUAUAUAUUUUGGGAGCUGCCAGUAGCCAUAUUUCCAAUGAUGGGAACAGAGAAGUGAGGGACGUGAGUUCACUCUCAGGGAGAAAAAAUGCAACAGAGGCUAGGAAACAAGCACUAACAUGAGAUGUGGAGGGAGUCCUGAGGGAAUGUGGGAACUUGGUUAUAGCAAUUCCUAAGCCCCCAUUGAAAUCAUGCUCUCAGGUUCCAGGAGACAUUCCAAUGUCCUUUAUAACAAAUCCUCCAUUUUGCUUAAACAAAGUUGAGUUGGGUUGGGUGUCUGUCACUUGUAUUACACAGUGUUAAAUUGAAUGAAGUACACUAGACCACACGCAGAAUUUACAAAAGUAUUACCUAGAAAUCCAUAAUCACAAUUCUCAAAAUCCCUCGCCCACAAUGUGGAAAUCAUACAUUGCCAAUUUGUUGGAAGCGAAGAGAGAAUUUAACAGAAAGUAUGCCUCUGAAAUGAGCCAUGCCUAGAGCUUCCAGCCCCAUAAGACAGAGGGUGGAAGUACUUUCCCUUCACCUCAAGGCAAGAGGAUACACCACUUAGGCAGCUUGACAUUAUUCCCUGCAGUUAGGAGGACCCAGAAGGCUGGUGCUGGACUCCUGCCCAUGAAACCUCGAAGGCAGGAGGGCUUGGCAGACCAGCUGCUUCAGUUGAGAAGUUAAGGAAAGCUGCUGCUGAAUUGACACUGGCCUAUACUCCUGGGAUUUGUCAGAACAAAAGAGGCAGGAGUGCUUUUUAUGGACCAUAUAGGCACCGGAGUUCCCAGCCCCCAGAG